GACCGUUUAGCUCAGUGGUUAGAGCGUGUGCCUCACAUCUGCCUGUUGGGUUCCCUUGCGAUAGAUUCAUAUGUGUACGCACAAGGUCGCAGGUUCGACCCCUGCAUCGGUCA